UACGAGGGGGGCAAGUGUUGUUCGGAAUCACUGGGCGUAAAGGGAGCGUAGGCGGAUGUUUAAGUCGGGUGUUUAAAACCGGGGCCCAACCCCGGAGCGGCACCCGAAACUGGGCAUCUUGAAUAGGUCAGAGGCUGGUGGAAUUGGAGGUGUAGCGGUGGAAUGCGUAGAGAUCUCCAAGAACACCUAUUACGAAGGCAGCCAGCUGGGACCAUAUUGACGCUGAGGCUCGAAAGCAUGGGGAGCAAACAGG
rnacentral:rRNA from 1 species